AUGAAUUUGUGGAACCGGUCGCGGAUGGCCAUGAGUAUUCCGUGAAGAUUUGUAAGGAUUGACUGCGAGGCAGAUUGACGUGAUCGAGAUGUGAUGUCACGCCCCGCGACCAACCGCCAAUUUGGACCGAGUCGCGACGCCGCCGACAGACCGCCGAACGGACCGGGAAUUCCCCUGUACGCGGACAGAGUCUCCCCAGUACGUCCAAGGCGUCGCAAUCCAAACAAUUAACGAAUGUUCCAACAAGGAACGGAUAUCAAUCCAGAUUGCAUAAGGAAGUAUCAAAUACAUAAUCUACUUGCUAUUACAAGCAUUCAUUUCACAACCACGUUUUACAUCACAGUUUCAGUUUACAUUUUUACUUCCAAAUUACAAUCUUAUUAUUACAUCAGAGUUUACAAGUUUGAUACAUGUUCUCUUCUUAUCUUCUAGACCCCUAAGCUAGACUAUCUCAGGGUACGGCUACCUCGGUCUCUGUGGUGGGGCGCUAUCUACUGAGCUACGCCCUCGCCUUGCGCCGCCGCGCCGCACACGAACGACCUGAAAAUCCCAAAAC
rnacentral:lncRNA from 1 species